UACGGAGGGGGCUAGCGUUGUUCGGAAUUACUGGGCGUAAAGCGCACGUAGGCGGACUGGAAAGUCAGAGGUGAAAUCCCAGGGCUCAACCUUGGAACUGCCUUUGAAACUCCCGGUCUUGAGGUCGAGAGAGGUGAGUGGAAUUCCGAGUGUAGAGGUGAAAUUCGUAGAUAUUCGGAGGAACACCAGUGGCGAAGGCGGCUCACGGGCUCGAUAUUGACGUUGAGGUGCGAAAGCGUGGGGAGCAAACAGG
rnacentral:rRNA from 1 species